UAAUUUGGGGGUGCAUUUACUUAUCAUUUAUAUACUUAGGUUGAUCGGCCCUUUAUUUAUGUUAAGUCUCCAGGCAGUAACAACAAAAUUUUUAUUAAUAUCUUCAAUAAAUUUGACUUCACGAAGUUAACAUAAUGGCUUCAGAUCGACAGUGGAGGAGGAUACUCGAAAACACGCCAUCUGGAAAGUCUGACGAACGUGAUUUUUUUUUGUUCGCUGUCUGGGCGAGCCCCGGGAAAAGUUUUCUUUUCUCUGUAAGGAGAUCGAGUCCCUGGAAUGGGUUCGCCCCGAGAUAGGGAUGGUGGCUCCGUAGAGCAGUGCGGCUCUUGCGCUGUCCGGUGCGCUCGCGUCGGCCCUUGAAAAUCCGAGUGAGGGAGUGUGAUUUUCGUGCCGGACCGUACCCACAUCCGCAGCAGGUCUCCAAGGUGAACAGCCUCCA
rnacentral:rRNA from 1 species